AAUACAAUCCGACAACGCUGUUAGCCGGUCUAAUAUUGAAAAUAUGAAACGCCACAAGUGUUGCUCGUUCAGUUUUCGGUCGACGCCAACAUACACGUUUAAGAGAUCCGCUGCGUCCAAAAAACCAAACGUCCACCCGAAAAAGUGUAUGUAACUUUGUGGCCACCAGAAACCCCCAGCCAUUGUGUGUCAGUGUCUUGUGCCAAGAACGUGUGUAACAUUCGGGUUUCUCUUCGUUCCAGUGAAUUGUUGAUUCUGUGGUGCGUCUUGUGACUUGUAAAAGUGUGUGACUUGAACAGCCGACGUUCGCCAUUUCACUUCUCUUUGUACGACACACACGUUCACACACGUGGACAGGCCCAUUUUCCCCCUCGUGCAGCCACUAUAGCAAGGCAGAAGCGACACAAGGGGACCAAAAGCCACCGAAAACAAAAUCCCAAAUCGCCACAAUCGUUAGCCUCCAAAUAGGCCAUGAAAUCCGUAUCCACGGCUUCCAUAAGAACUCUAAGUUCUUUAAAUCGAGGUAACAUAUUGACAGCUGGAUCUCCCUGGAAGUUCUACUAACUAAUUUAUUUCCAAUAUGAGCUUUCCCUGGCCAUUCCACAUCUAUUGGAUUUUUAUUUUCCUUACCAAAGACUGCUAUCAUCGUCGAUCCAACCAUAACCGACAGAAAAAUGAUGAGACACAAAAUGUCUUUGCAUGACCUUUCUCUUGUAACAAAUUGAUCGUGUGCCAUUAUUUGUGGAUUGACUGGAUUCUAAAGAAAAAUAAGUAUAAAAAAAAU